rnacentral:miRNA from 1 species
ACAGGAGGUGGAACAAAUAUGAAA